rnacentral:rRNA from 1 species
GUGGGGAAUCUUGCGCAAUGGGCGAAAGCCUGACGCAGCCAUGCCGCGUGGAUGAUGAAGGUCUUAGGAUUGUAAAAUCCUUUCACCGGUGAAGAUAAUGACUGUAGCCGGAGAAGAAGCCCCGGCUAACUUCGUGCCAGCAGCCGCGGUAAUACGAAGGGGGCUAGCGUUGCUCGGAUUUACUGGGCGUAAAGGGCGCGUAGGCGGACAUUUAAGUCAGGGGUGAAAUCCCGGGGCUCAACCUCGGAACUGCCUUUGAUACUGGCUGUCUUGAGUUUGGGAGAGGUGAGUGGAACUCCGAGUGUAGAGGUGAAAUUCGUAGAUAUUCGGAAGAACACCAGUGGCGAAGGCGACUCACUGGCCCAAUACUGACGCUGAGGCGCGAAAGCGUGGGGAGCAAACAGGAUUAGAAACCCCAGUAGUCC